rfam:Apaloderma vittatum contig64797, whole genome shotgun sequence.
GGGCCGGUGAGCUCAGUCAGUUAGAGCAUGGUGCUGAUAACACCAAGGUCACGGGUUCGAUCCCCAUUCAGUCCC